AAUCGUAUUCAGAUCCCGAAAACAAGUAAGGACCCCUCACUCUAUUUCCUAUCACGGUAUUAAAGUUCAAAAUGAUAAAACGGUAUUUCUUGAAUUAACGAAUGUGUGAAAUUGCUUAAGGUGGCUAAUGGAGCCCGAGUCUAGUGUGAUUGGUGAUUUACUGUUAUUUGGUCUGUUUACAACUUUAAAUGCAAAAUGAGGUUUGAUGUGUUCAUUUUACAGAUUUGUGUGCAUAUACUACGUUUUUAUUAAUCAUGGGUUGAAUGACUGAAAAACUGAUGCUGUAUGUUGUCUGUUUGGCAUGAAUUACGAUUUGCUUGUUUAAAUGUGAAUUGAUGAUGCUGACUGAGGAAAAGGAAAAUGAAAGAUUGUGUAGACUGAUAAUUGUAUUAUGGGGGUCAGCCUGACUAGAUAUCCUAGGAGAUGGUGGACGGACCGGGUCCGUAGGGAACCCUACCGGGAUUGUGGUCUCACAUGCCGGACGGGGUAUGGAGAUCUUAUGGUUUUGGCGCCCAUACCGGACGGGGUAUGGGGACGGCCCGUUUCACCCUCAUACCGGACGGGGUAUUGAGGUUUAUGGUUUUGGCGCCCAUACCGGACGGGGUAUGGGGACGGCCCGUUUCACCCUCAUACCGGACGGGGUAUUGAGGUUCAUGGUUUUGGCGCCCAUACCGGACGGGGUAUGGGGACGGCCCUGGAAACUGAUCAUGAAUGUUAAAGGUUAACGGGUAGCGGAACCCCUAUGGACCUCCACGGAUACUAGUAGGCUGGUAAAUGAGAAAAAGAUAUGUUGUACAAUGAUUGAAUUACAAGAGCCGUGAUAAGUGUUAUGUUUUACAGCUUAUAUUAUUCCAUGAUUAUGAUAAUGUUAUUGUUUUCUUAUAUUGUUUUCAUAAAUUCCACCGAGGUAAGUGGAGGGUAAAGGUUUUCAUGUUAAUAAACGAGUUUGUUGUAAAUUAUGCUCCAUUGGUCUUUUGUGUUUUUCUACCCCCCUUUACCUCCGUGACGGUGAGAUAUCGUGAUGUUCUUACUGGGCUAGUGUAGCUCACUCCUUAUUUAACCAUUUCAGAUCAGGAAGACAUGGUUCCCGAGCCCGUUCCGCAGGAGGACGACGAAGGGGAUGCCUAGAGACUCUGUAGUCAUACUCAUAGUUUUAUUUUCGAGUUUCUCUCUUAGUUAGUUUAAUCUUUUAUAUUUUAAGUACGUUUUUGGUUUUUUUCGUGUAAGGGAUGUUAACUGAAAUUUUGAUCUCGCUUCC
rnacentral:lncRNA from 1 species